CCAUGGUGACCCAGGCUCUACAUGGUUUUCUUGCUGGUAUUCGUACCCACUGGCAUUCAGAUCAGGAGAUCAAGCAAACACACACACACAGAUUUGUGUGUAGAAGGCUGACAGACAGGAGCUCAGAGUGAGAGUGAUAAAGCUCCCCACAGCCGCCCUGCACCACACCGCACCAACGCCAACAUGGAGCAGAAGACAACCACGACUCAGAAGCACAUGGUGAAAAGCAGGUCCAAGUCUACUGAAGAAAUCCAGCAAGCUAAGAAGGCCUUCCACAUUCCCCAGAAGUCUCUUCCUGGAGGAUCGGAGUUAGAAAAAGUGAAGGAAAGCCCUGAAGAAUCUGAAACUCCUGCGUCGUCAUCAGAGGAGCUGAAGUAACCCUUAUAAUUCACAACCUGGAGCCACUACAUAUCAUACACUCAUUCACACCACAAUAUCCACCAUGAAUUCCCCAGAAACCUCACUCCAGAACAUCACAACAUGCUGUUACUUCACUCUUCAAGCUGGUUAAGCUGGUUGACCAGCCUGGCUCUUGACUUGUAGGAAACUCAAUAACUCCAUUAUGACCAAGCUGAUUGACCUCCAUGAUCCUCAUGCCCAAGCUGGUCAACCAGUAUGGUGAUGCUAGUUGACGAGCUUGCCCAAUAGCCCAAUCAGUGUGACCAUGCUAGUCAACCAGGACACAAACCUGGCUUAACACUACGUUAUAUGCUUUUGCCUGGAUGCCCAACCAGCUUUUUAACCACCUCAACCAUCUAAAACCAGCUACCACCAGAAGCUGGGCUUAAACUGGGUUUGUCCGCAGGGAUUUCCUACAGAGGCAGGUCAGAUGCACACGUCUCCAUGCUGUGCUGUCAUAUCAACUGAAUGUGUUUGUGCAAUAAAAAGCAGUUUUUGGUGAGUGUGUGUCCACAUGAAAGUGACAUAUUCUGUAAUAUGUUGUCAAUAUCAGGGCUCAGAGAUGGAAUAAAGAAUUGAUUCACUCCAAGCAGAA